GGCUGGUGCCCUGCCCAUGGCGUUUUCCCUCCCCCCUCAAGGCCAGUGCCCCUCGCUCCCCUUUUCUAUGCUGAUGCUGAAACCUGUCUAGAGAGCAGGUUGCAAAGCACCACACUUUCAUUUUUUAAGCAGAAAAAGAAACGAAAAAACCUGUUGUUGUUCAGGAAGCACCGCAGGACAUCAGUUCAACUUCAGGGGAGUUUGAGAUGUGUGGUAUACAGAUUCUCACCUGUGCAGGAGGGAGGAGGAGGCUAACAGCAGAUUGUCUCCACUUUGCAAAUGUCUUUUAAAGCUUUCCUCUGUUCACAUCGAAUGUUUACGUGUGGUUUUUGCUUUGUUUUUUAAAUGGAUAUUCCGAUACGUGUCAAGCAGAUUGGCGUCGCUGGAAGUUUGGGAAUGGGAGCGAAUCCGUUUUCCAGCGGACUUGGGAGAUGUCAAUGAGCGGGGGCCCGUGUCCCUGGAAAAAAUACAACUCUGGAAGGGAAGAGCACUGCUCAUCUCUUUCCCUGCCCACCUGGGAAUGCUCCUUGUCCUGUUUUGUUUCUUUUACUCUGCUGUCUAGACCGAUUUUUAAUUUACAAAGGUUCACAAAACCAAAAAUCAGUUGGUGUUUUAAGCUGCUUUUUUCCCACCUUUUCAGGAAGCAGUUACUCAUCUUUGGUCUUGCCUGGUAUUGAAGGCUGGAGAAACAGAUUCUUAUUGUACUUUCUCAGGCCAUUGCUUGUGAUGUAAAUGCAGGCUUAUUACUUGUUAACAGUUGCAAAGAGCAUGUUCAUCUAACACAGGAGGUACAUGGUCCCACUAGGGACCUCUUACUGGACUUGGUGCUGGCGACAGGGGAUGACCUGGUAGGGAAUUGACUGACUCGAGGUAACCUAGGGGACAGUGACCAUCCAUUGAUUGGAUUCACUAUCUGGCACAGGGUGGGAAAAAUAACCAGUAGGGUAGGAGUGCUAGACUUCAGUGUGGUCAGGAGAUUAGUUAGCGAGGCGCUGAAGGACAAGAGCACUGUUAAGAUGGGAGUCCAGGAAUGGGAGUUGUUCCUAAAGGGAGCAAUCCUACAGGUGUAGGAGAAGAUGAUCCCGUUGCACACGAGAGGGGAAAGAGGGGCCAAGAAACCCUCUUGGCUGAACAGCAAAAUGCAGGAAAACCUAGGGGCAAAAAAGAGGCAUAUAGACAGUGGAAGCAUGUGAGAUUUACCAAGGUGGAGUAUACCUACUUGGCCUGCACUUGCAGGGAGGCAGUUAGAAAGGGUGAAGCAGAAAUGGAGCUUGGGCUGGCAACAAAAAUUAAAAACAAGUAAAGUCUUUCUUUAGGUGUAUAAGGAGUAAAAAGAAGGUGCCAUGGUAGCAUAGGAACCCUACAGGACAAAGUAGGGUAAAUAGUGAUAGGUGGGGUGAGCGGGGCAAGGUUGAGCUCUUCAGUGAGUUUUUUGCUUCUGUAUUCCUGAACAUGGAACAGGACAGGUCUCCCAGUUGGAUGCUAGACAGGCAUAAAAGGGACACCAGCCCACCAAGUGUUUGUGCCAACUUGGUGAAGAGGCACUUGGAAAGACUGGGUGUGUUUAAGUCAGCAGACCCACGUGAUCUUCAUCCAAGGGUGCCAAAGGAUUUGGCAGCAUUAUAGGAGAGCCCCGACACAGCUGUUUGAGCACUCGUGGCACUCGGGUCAGGUCCCAGAGGGCUGGAAAAGGGCCAGUGCGGUCCCUACCUUUAAGAAGGGAAAGGAGGAUCCGGGUAACUAGACACCAGUUAGUCUCACUUCUGUUCUGAGGAAAACCUUUGAAAACAUUAAGCAUCACAUUUGUGGGAGUCCUGGAAGGUGGGGGGAUGCUGAAGGGCAGUGAGCACAUAUUCAUAGCAGGUAGAUCCUGCCUGACUAACCUUGUUUCUUUUUAUGACCAGGUCACAAAAUGCUUACACACAGGAAUUGAGGUAGAUGUCAUCUACUUGCAUUUUAAGAAGGCCUUCAAUAUGGUAUCUCAUUCUAAUGUCAUUAAUAAACUGAGCCGCUGUCACGUAGAUGAUUACACGAUCAGGUGCAGGACAAACAGGUCCAGGGAGGUGAUGCUUACCCUCUACGCGACAUUGGUCGAGCUGCAGUUGGAGUACUCUGUCCGGUUUUGGACGCCACACUUCAAGAGGGAUGUGGACAACCUUGUGAGGGUUCAGAGGAGGGCAAAAGCUAGUCCUUGCGCUCCUGUCCUUGGAACCAGCUUAUCGGCGAGGAAGCGCAGCGUGACAUUCGGAACCAAAAGGCCCGGAGUAGAAGGGCCCCCGACAUCCGUCGCAUCUGCAACGGGUCCCUGCGUGAGCUACUGAGAAACGAGCGUUUGGGGCCCGCGCCGGUCUCUCGGAAACAUCCGAGCCAGCCCUGGCAGCAGGUGCCUGCGCGUUCCUGCCUCGUACGCGGUCAGGGAACGCUACGCACCAGCAGUUGCCUCGGCUUCUGACCGGACGCACGCCGUUUGCUUGCAAGCAUCCAAAGCUAGCACCUCCAGCGGCUGCAGCUGUUGCUUCCCAACUACUAGGAGAGCCUUGCAAAAGCAAUGGCCUGCCCCUGGGCCAGGCUGAUACCAGUGGCUGAGACCCAGAGACUUGCUGUUGUACCUCCCGGUGUCUGGAUUAGGUGUCGAGCACUUGGAACUCUGGCAGCUUCAGCACAUAUUAACCUCUCGUCCUCCUGUGGCCAACACCACGGAGCCCGUGACCCUAAUGUUUCUGUCAGCCUCUGUCCCACCCUUCCCCUGAAGGCCUCCCGUGAAAUCCCUUGUCCCAUCACAGUCUGCAGGUUGGCUCCAGCGGUAUUUCCCAGCUGCACGUGGAGAGUUGCAAGGGAGGUGGGGAAGAGUUUUAUGCCUCCAUACUCUUUACUUGUUUCAGCCUGAAGCUGUUUGUUUAUCUCAGGGCCUUUUUUUCCUCUCUCUCCUCCUCUGUCUGUGCUUCUGCUGUGUAGCCACUGCCUCCUGUGUAUGUGGGAAGGUGAUGUAAGGGGGUGCACAGUUACCCUUAAGAAGGAGCAAUUUUUCUAUGGAGUUAAGCUGAAACUGCUGUACAGAGCGUCUUGCAAAGUGCCUCCGGGUCUGCAGCGGUAGAAGGUAUAUGGGGUAAGGCACAGAGCUGAGGGAAUUGCACUGUGUUGCCCUCUGUGAGCUUCCUGGGAAACACUUGGGGCGGGGGGGUGGGGG